AGUUAUUUUUUUUACUAGUGAAAGGAAGGUAGAAAUGAAGGUUAUUUCAGGUGUUGGACACUCCCGACACAGAGAGAGCUGCUGCCUUGAAAAGCAAGUUUAUUUUUGGUGUCUUGACAUUAGAGCUCAUCUGUCAUGGCCGCCACCCUACUUUGUGAAGUUCCAUCUUGUUCGUCUUCUUCCUCCCAAUGAUGCAUACUCUUUCAUAGCGACGCGAGGCACACAACUGUUGAUCACUCCAUCAUGACGAAAGAAGAAGAGAUCCCUGACUGGGUGGGUGCCCAGGAGUUCUAUGACAAGUAUGACCCCAAGGAGAUUCUGGGAAGGGGAGUAAGCAGUGUGGUGCGUCGCUGCGUCGACAAACGGUCGUCUCAGGAGUACGCCGUGAAGAUCAUCGACAUCACCCCUUCAGACAAGACGACCCCGCAGGAGAUCGAGGAGAUCCGGGAUUCAACGGUGAAGGAGAUCGACAUCCUCAAGAAAGUGUUUGGACAGGAGAACAUCAUACAGCUAAAAGACUGUUAUGAAUCCAAUGCCUUCUACUUCUUGAUUUUUGACCUGUACGUAAGCUCAAGUAAGAACAUUCCACUUACAACUCUGUUAUUUAAUUUGAAUACUUGUCUUAUAAAUCCCAGGAUGAGGAGGGGGGAACUUUUUGAUUACCUCACAGAGAAAGUGACUCUGAGUGAGAAGGAAACAAGGAAGAUCAUGCGUGCUCUGCUGGAAGUGGUUCAGUUUCUCCACGAGCAGCACAUCGUCCAUCGAGAUCUCAAGCCUGAGAACAUCCUUCUGGACGACGAGAUGAACAUCAAACUCACCGACUUUGGCUUCGCCGUGCAACUCCAAUCAGGACAGAAACUCAAAGAGGUGUGUGGGACUCCCGUUUAUCUGGCUCCCGAGAUCAUUGAGUGCUCUAUGGACUCAGACCAUGAUGGAUACGGAACUGCUGUGGACAUAUGGAGCGCUGGGGUGAUCAUGUACACACUCCUGGCCGGCUCGCCGCCCUUCUGGCACAGGAAACAGAUGCUGAUGCUGCGUAUGAUCUUAGCCGGGAGUUACGACUUCUCAUCGCCCGAGUGGGAAGACCGCUCAGACACUGUCAAGGAUUUGAUCUCUCGGAUGCUUGUGGUGGACCCCAGGAAGCGUUACUCGGUCAUCGACGCGCUCAAUCAUCCCUUCUUCUCCCAGUAUGUCGUGCACGAAGUCAGACAGUUCAGUCCAUACAGGAAGUUCAAGGUCAUCUGCAUGACGGUGCUGGCCACCAUGCGCAUCUACUGCAACUACCGCAGAGCCAAGCCCGUCACCAAGGAGGUGAUGAAGAGCGACCCGUACGCGCUCAAGCCCAUCCGCAAGCUCAUCGACGCGUGCGCCUUCAAGAUGUACGGCCACUGGGUCAAGAAGGGCCAGACGCAGAACCGAGCGGCUCUUUUCGAGAACACGUCCAAGGCCAUCCUGCUGUCCAUGGCGGCCGAGGCGGACGGGCCUGUCCAUCCCCUCUGGUGAUGACAAAACGGUCAUCUCGGCUGGUGUGAAUUUUACGUGGAGGAAAAAACGGUGAGGCACCAACCACUUAAGGAGGCUAACAAUAGCUUCUCGUGUUUGAUUCGGCCAACAAGGAAUGUGUAAAGAGCAUGAAGGAAUGAGUCACUGGGCAUAGAAAACGUUGCCCUCCUCUCCAUUCUGCUGCUUCAACAUCGCUCAAAUCGAGCUGCGGACAUGUUGUGACACCUAUCAUGCAACAUGAUCCAACCAUGGCAACAACUCGGCUUGAUCAAAAAACACGUUUGUGUCGCAAAGCUCAAACUGUUUUUAAAUAAAUGAAAUCAAUGGCAAUGUUGAUGUUACACUUUAUUGCUUUUCAAAUAUUACUGCACAAGAUGAAGCCUGGAACUUGUCUUUAAUUCUCCUGAGGUUCUUCAUGCCCACCGAAGCCCUGUGGAACACACAAAAACAUUACAAUUUGACAAGAACACAAUGUGUGACACAUAAUGCAUGAUGUUUUAAAUAAAUCAAGUAUUAUAUACACCAUUACGCCUCUGAAUGGCCACCGUAGAACAGAGGUGUCCAAACAUUUUCCACAGAGGGUCGCAUACUGAAAAUCCCAGUAUGCGGGAGAUUGAUUUAUUUUGUCUUAAAGGCGUAAACAGGCUCCAGCUAAUUUAAUAUAUAUAUAUAUUUUGGCCCUGCCUGGACAAACAUGAACACUUUUGUCUGUGGUCACCGGCGAAAGGAGUACCGAAUUUUUCGGAGUAUAAGUCGCACCAGCCGAAAAUGCAUAAUAAAGAAGGAAAAAAAACAUAUAAGUCGCAUUUUUGAGGGAAUUUUUUUUGAUAAAACCCAACGCCAAGAAUAGACAUUUGAAAGGCAAUUUAAAAUAAUUUAAGAAUAGUGAACAACAGGCUGAAUAAGUGUAUGUUAUAUGAGGCAUAAAUAACCAACUGAGAACGUGCCUGGUAUGUUAACGUAACAUAUUAUGGUAAGAGUCAUUCAAAUAACUAUAACAUAUAGAACAUGCUAUACGUUUACCAAACAAUCUGUCACUCCUAAUCGCUAAAUCCCAUGAAAUCUUAUACGUCUAGUCUCUUACGUGAAUGAGAUAAAUAAUAUUAUUUGAUAUUUUACGGCAAUGUGUUAAUUUCACACAUAAGUCGCACCCCCGGCCAAACUAUGAAAAAAAACGGCGACUUAUAGUCCGAAAAAUACGGUAAACCGAAUCCUCUAAGUCAGUGUUAUUUUACCCAUUGUUGGGAAGCCAAGAAAUAUCGGUUUCCCAACUGUGGUCUGUAUGGCCUGCAGCAUACUCAGGUGUAAUACCUGUUUCCACCACUUGUGGCAGUAAUGAUAAUAUCAAACAAGCAGAAGAAGUCUAUAGCUGAUUUAAGUGGUGAAGCUGUAUUUUCAUUUAACUUAAGUUUUAUUGACAGUGUAUUAAAGAAACAUUACUAUAGUAUUAAUUUUGUUCCAAUGUAUAUAUUUUAGCAGUCUGAAGCCAAAGUCAGAAGUUUCUCAAGCACAAAAAGGACUUUGACAUUUUAGUGAAGAAACAUAUAUUAUUAAUUCUGUUGUUUUAUUUUAGCACUGCAUAACUAUGUACAUUUAUUUUUCGUCAGUUUAUAUGAGCCUGUUCUGUUGCAGUGUAUUUGAUUAUUUAUGUUCUCAGCCUGACAUAAGCCUUCAUAAUACUCUUUGUGAUAAACACAUGCUUUCAUAUUAUUUGACAGUUAUAAAUUAGAAGUAGGUUAGAUAUAAUUAAUGAAUAUUCAGUGUUAAUAAUUGAGUAGACCUAUGGCCCCUCUGUAGUGGAAAAGUUGGGCCCUGAGGUCUAAAAGGUUAAAAACCCCUGCUCUAAGUGGACUAUUUGGGGUAGCACCUCAGUCACCUACCCUCAACAAAUCCAAAAAAGAAUCUUGUAACAUUCACAACUUGGUUAGAAGACUGAGUUAAAUUGGAAGGCUGGAUUAAAGAUGUUCUUUGUUUUCUCAAAAUGAAAAAGAUUAGGCUGACAUUGAAUGGUUAUUCUGCAAGGUUUCAAGAACUGUGAGGUGCCUUUCUAAAAUAAGUAGGAGAAACCGAUCUCCAAAUUAACCCCGAUUGAAACAAUUGAAAUGUGGGUGGUUGAUGAGCCCUUUUGUGCUUGUUGGUCGUAUCUCACUGGGGCUAUUCAGGACUGCGGCUGUCUGGUUUCUUCUGUAUUUAUUUAGUCUUUUUUUUUUUUUUUACUUGUUGGGGGGAAACAAUAUUUGAUGCACUUUUGGCUAUCUUUAUGUCUAAAACCUAAUAAACAAAUGUUUAUUUAAAGGGAAUUGCGCUUUUUUUGUCAUUUUCCUU